UAUUAGGUUGGUGCACAGGUAAUUGUGGUUUUUGCCAUUUAAAGUAAUGGCAAAAACCACAAUCACCUGUGCAUCAACCUAAUG
rnacentral:pre_miRNA from 1 species